UACGUAGGGUGCAAGCGUUUGUCCGGAAUUAUUGGGCGUAAAGAGCUUGUAGGCGGUUUGUCGCGUCUGCUGUGAAAUUUCGGGGCUCAACCCCGAACUUGCAGUGGGUACGGGGCAGACUAGAGUGUGGUAGGGGAGACUGGAAUUCCUGGUGUAGCGGUGAAAUGCGCAGAUAUCAGGAGGAACACCAAUGGCGAAGGCAGCUCGCUGGAACGGUACUGACGCUGAGGCGCGAAAGCGUGGGGAGCGAACAGG
rnacentral:rRNA from 1 species